rnacentral:lncRNA from 1 species
AAAUAAGGAACACAAGCUUCAUAGUUAAUAUAGUGCACAGAUUCGGUUUAAGGGGUAUCGAGGCGCCCGAAAAUAAAAAACAGUCAAAAUCAAGAAAAAAUACUUCCAGAGGACGUUACGAUCGAGUUUUGAACCCUCGAAUCCCCUAAUUACAGGUAUAUCAUAUAUACCAUAAGAAAGCUUAUAAAAUAAGGAACACAAGCUUCAUAGAGAAUAUAGUGCACAGAUUCGGUUUAAGGGGUAUCGAGGCGCCCGAAAAUAAAAAACGGCAAAAAUUAAGAAAAAU